GACAGCUCUGUGAUGUGAACUUCUGUUCUACACACAAGCAGAAAUCACCAUGAGCUCAUACAUCUUCAUCUGGACACUCAUCAUCUUUAUUCAAGAUUGUCAAGCUGAGAUCACAGUGAUUCAGACUCCAUCAGUGAAACCUGUUACAGUAGGAGAGACGGUCACUCUGAAGUGUAAAACCAGCAGAGAUGUGCCUUGUUGUUACACAAGAACCAGCAGUGACAGAUCUGGUUCAGCUCAUAGUUGGUAUCAUCAGAAACCUGGAGAAGCUCCUAAACUCCUGAUAUAUUAUACAUAUAACCUUCAGUCUGGAACUCCAUCUAGAUUCAGUGGCAGUGGAUCAAACACAGAUUUCACUCUGAGCAUCAGUGGAGUCAAGAGUGAAGAUGCAGGACAUUAUUACUGUCAGAGUGUACACUAUAUCAACAGUAGAGAUGUGUUGACACAGUGAAACAGAG